rnacentral:lncRNA from 1 species
UGCUGGCAUUCUUAUUCUCCUAUUCACUCUGUACCUCCAGUCCCCAGACGCUGGAAGCUGGAAGUCGAAAAGCCAAGGCUCAUGUGGCAGAACUUGGAAUCUUCCACUGCAAGAGCUCCUCUCUAGACUCUCUGGAAGACUUCCAUGUCAAUUCUACUUGUCAUGGUUCUGUUCGGUUCAAGAUGAUCUGAUGAAGAUUUUGAGCAGGGGAAGCUCAGAAUCUGCAUCUACAGAAUCUCACAGAACUGGAGGAGAAGAAUAAAUAUCUAUUAAGGUAUUAUAGAAAACAGGGGAUUAAUCAGUGGCUGGUAGAGUCUUCUACAGUGAAGACCAUUCAGUUAGUAUUUGGCAUGGGGAAUCAUUAUGAUAGUGAUAUUAGAAAACAUCAAAGAAAACUACCACUAACUGUACAAAGCAAGUCAUCCCAAGUCAGUGUCAGCACUGAAAUCCAAAGAAUUCUUGAAUGAUCUAAUGUUACAAAUGUGUAAGAAUGUUCAGAAAUGAACAUAAAAUGUUAAUUAGUUUGUCUUAUUUUCAAAUGAUUUUAGACCCUUCCUGACAAUGGUUAGAAUGAUAAAUAAAGUAACAAUGUUCGGCUAAAUAAUCUCAGGAAAUUCUUCGUUUGCCCCACAUAUUUAAACAGAUAAUUAUCUCCUAGACCUAUAUUUUUCCAGAUUUCUUUUUGUUGUUUCCCUCUUAUUUGCAAAAGCAUAGUUUGGUACUGAAAGACUUUCCAUUCCAGCUUUUGGAGGUAGGAGAGAUGGUUAUUGUUUGUUUGUUUGUUUCUGCUAGUGAAUACUAAGUCAUAAUAUUUUUGGUGAUAUCCAAAGCCUCCCUUACCUUCAGCAAGCUGUUGUUCAAUGACUUGUCAGCCAAUAGCUGUAGCUGUAUUCAAAAAAAAGUCUGAUUUAAUUUUAUCUAACUUCUCCAGUCUAAGAA